AGUCAUAUGCUUGUCUCAAAGACUAAGCCAUGCAUGUCUAAGUUUAAAUGCUAAACAAUGAAACUGCGAACGGCUCAUUAAAACAGUUAUAGUUUAUUUGGUAAUCGAAUUUACAUGGAUAACCGUGGUAAUUCUAGAGCUAAUACAUGCUGUGCGCCUGACUUUUUGGAAAGGCGGUAUUUAUUAGAUAACAACCAAUAUUCCGUAGGUCUAUCGUGGUGAGUCAUAAUAACUGAUCGAAUUGCAAAGCCUUUGGCUGCGAUAAGUCAUUCAAGUUUCUGCCCCAUCAGCUGUAGAUGGUAGUGUAUUGGACUACCAUGGCUUUCACGGGUAACGGAGGAUUAGGGUUCGAUUCCGGAGAGGGAGCCUGAGAAACGGCUACCACAUCUAAGGAAGGCAGCAGGCGCGUAAAUUACCCAAUACUGACUCAGUGAGGUAGUGACAAGAAAUAACGGGCCGGGGAUUUCCCCGGGACUGAAAUGAGUUUAAUUUAAACCCCUUUUCGAGGAUCCAU
rnacentral:rRNA from 1 species